GAUGAACGCUGGCGGCGUGCCUAAUACAUGCAAGUCGAGCGAACAGACGAGGAGCUUGCUCCUCUGACGUUAGCGGCGGACGGGUGAGUAACACGUGGAUAACCUACCUAUAAGACUGGGAUAACUUCGGGAAACCGGAGCUAAUACCGGAUAAUAUAUUGAACCGCAUGGUUCAAUAGUGAAAGACGGUUUUGCUGCCACUUAUAGAUGGAUCCGCGCCGCAUUAGCUAGUUGGUAAGGUAACGGCUUACCAAGGCAACGAUGCGUAGCCGACCUGAGAGGGUGAUCGGCCACACUGGAACUGAGGCACGGUCCAGACUCCUACGGGAGGCAGCAGUAGGGAAUCUUCCGCAAUGGGCGAAAGCCUGACGGAGCAACGCCGCGUGAGUGAUGAAGGUCUUCGGAUCGUAAAACUCUGUUAUUAGGGAAGAACAAAUGUGUAAGUAACUAUGCACGUCUUGACGGUACCUAAUCAGAAAGCCACGGCUAACUACGUG
rnacentral:rRNA from 1 species